rnacentral:rRNA from 1 species
AUGCCGACGCGGAGGCUCCUCCGCAUCCUCCCGCUUCUCCUGGCGCUGCUGCUCGCCGGCUCGCCAGACGGCGCGGCCGCGGCGGGCGGCGGCAACGGGACGUGCCCGCUGGACCUGAGCUACGUGCCCACGUUCCCGUGGGACCCCGCGCCGUGCGCGGGGGCCGCGCCCAACAUGACGGCCUGCUGCCAGACGCUGCUCUCCGUGCUCGCCAUCGGCCUCGCCGGCCGGCUCCGCGCCACGGGCCAGUUCCGCGUCCCGUCCGCGGCGGCCUCCGCCGCCUGCAUCGCCGACUUCGCGGAGGCGGUCGCGUCGGCGCCGGCCUCGCUCCCGGGCGCCUCGCUCGUGCCGUCCUGCUUCCCGUCGCCGGACGAGUUCGCCGUCUCCCCGUCCUUCUGCGCCGGCGUCACCACCGCGGCCGAGUACAGGGCCGUCGUCGGGAACGCCUCCGUCGCGGGCCUGGACGCCGCCUGCGGCCCCGACCUCUCGUCCUUGCCGAUCUGCGACCGCUGCCAGACCGCCGGCAUCGUCGCCACCUCCCCCCUCAUCGCCGCCAGCGCCAACGCCACGACCGAGUCGCAGCAGAACUGCUUCUACCUCACCGUCAUGUACGCCGCCGGCAUCUCCAGCGCCGAGGGACCCACCUCCCCCACCGCCGCCCAUUGCAUCCUCGGCCUCGGCCUGUCCACCCCUCCCUCCCAGCGCUCCAAGUCCAACAACGCAGCCAUCUACGCCACCACCAUCCCAAUCGCCUUCAUCCUCCUCCUGUCAGUCCUCGCAUUCUUUGUAUGGAGAAAGACAAGGCACGCCAAGAACAAGAAGAGGAACCACACGAUCCCUGAGGAGGGGUCGGAGGACCGGCGUCCGCACCUGAGGCCCAACACCGGGUCAAUACAGUUCGACAUUGCCGAGUUGUCCAAGGGGACGGACAACUUCGCGGAUCGAAACCUCAUCGGCCGCGGUGGGUUCGGAGUUGUCUACCGUGGCGUGCUCGCCGAUGGGUCUGUGGUUGCCGUCAAGAAGAUGCUCAACCCAGAAAUGGACGGCGGUGACGAGGAGUUCACCAACGAGGUGGAGAUCAUCAGCCACCUCCGGCACCGAAACCUGGUGCCGCUGCGUGGCUGUUGCAUUGUCGAUGACGACAUAGAGGAUGGGAAGCAGAUGUUCCUCGUGUACGACUUUAUGCCCAAUGGAUCGCUCGAGGAGUUCAUCUUCCGGGACAGAGUAGGAAGCAGCAAGCGGGCGGCAUUGACAUGGGCACAACGUCGCAACAUAAUAAUGGAUGUGGCAAAAGGACUGGAAUAUCUGCAUUAUGGUGUCAAGCCUGCGAUCUAUCACAGGGACAUCAAGGCGACCAACAUAUUGCUCGACAAUGAGAUGCGGGCACGCGUGGCGGAUUUCGGGCUAGCCAGGAGGAGCCGAGAAGGGCAGUCUCACCUCACGACGCGGGUUGCCGGCACACAUGGCUACCUGGCGCCCGAGUACGCGCUCUAUGGACAAUUGACAGAGAAGAGUGACGUCUAUAGCUUCGGCGUUCUGGUGCUUGAGAUAUUGAGUGGGCGGCAUGUGCUUGACAUGACGGCUUCGAAUGGGCCAGUGCUGAUCACCGACUGGGCGUGGACGCUCAUCAAGGCUGGCCAGUCAAGGGAGGUGCUCGACGAUGCAUUGUCGACGUGCGAGAGCCCAAGAGGUGAGGCCAUCGAAAGGUUUGUUCUUGUUGGAAUCCUGUGCGCUCAUGUGAUGGUUGCGCUCCGACCGACCAUCACCGAGGCGGUGAAGAUGCUUGAGGGAGACAUGGACAUACCAGAGAUACCAGAUCGGCCGCUGCCAUUUGGGCACAACUUUUUGAUGUUCAGCGAAGCUGGGAGCAACUUCAGCGCUUCCCCGGCUAUCAGUGGGCCUUUAAUGGAUAAUGGGGACAUGCUUAGGUGA